AGCAGCAUGGUCCCUGCACAAGGAUGACCUACAAAUUUGUGAAGCAUUCUAUAUUUUU
rnacentral:snRNA from 2 species